UCCCUGGUGGCUCAAAGGUUAAAGCGUCUGCCUGCAAUGCGGGAGACCUGGGUUCAAUUCCUGGGUUGGGAA
rnacentral:tRNA from 1 species